UACGAGGAUUCCCGUAGUAACGGCGAGUGAACUGGGAAGAGUCCAGCGCUGAAUCGYGGCGCCUCUGGUGCCGCGAGGUGUAGCGUACAGACCGUGAGCAUGGGUUGGCCUGCCCGUUCAAGUUUCCCUUGACCGGGGCUCCAGAGAAGGUGCAAGACCUGUCCAACGGGCGGCAGCCAGUCCAUUUUCGCGUGUCUCGGAGUCGGGUUGUUUGGGAUCGCAGCCCAAAGCAGGUGGUAAACUUCAUCUAAGACUGAAUAUGACUACGAGUCCGAUAGCGAACAAGUACCGUGAGGGAAAGUUGCAAAGCACUUUGAAGAGAGAGUUAAAGAGGACGUGAAACCGAUGAGGUGGAAACGGACAGAGCUGGCGUAUCUGGCCUGUAUUCAGCCACGGGCCCGUCGGUGUCAGGGAUGCCGCUCUCCAGAUUGGGACGGUGGCCUGUCUGCUGGUGGGUUUGUGGUGCAUUUGCAGGUGGAGUGCGCCGAGGCGCUCGGGCACAGCGGCAUGAGCCCAGUUUUGAGGCCAGCCUCGCAAGAGGUCUGGUACCCGGACUGGGGGAGUGUUGUUUGGCCUGGGUGUACAAGUGGGGCAAUGGAAUCGGGCCCGGGUGGGUGCCGAGCUGGCAGUCGGCGUCGGUCGCAUGCGACACGUGCCAGCGGUCAGUUCGGUCCUGCUCGAGCUCACAUCUGCCCGUCCUCGGUGUAAAAGCCGGUCAUCUGUCCGACCCGUCUUGAAACACGGACCAAGGAGUUUAGCGUGUGCGCGAGUCAUUGGGCGUUGAAAACCCAAAGGCGCAAUGAAAGUGAAGGUCUCCCUUGCGGAGCUGAUGUGUGAUCCUGGUGCACUGCGGUGCCCGGGCGCAACAUAGUCCCGUCCCGACCGCAUGCGGUGGGGCGGAGACAGAGCGUACGCGCUGAGACCCGAAAGAUGGUGAACUAUUCCUGAGCAGGAUGAAGCCAGUGGAAACUCUGGUGGAAGUCCGAAGCGAUUCUGACGUGCAAAUCGAUCGUCUGACUUGGGUAUAGGGGCGAAAGACUAAUCGAA
rnacentral:rRNA from 1 species